rnacentral:misc_RNA from 1 species
GGAGAAUCAGGGUCGUGCUUUCCCGCGCCCCAGGUGCCGUUCUGCGGCUGCUGAUGUUUCCCGCCGCCCUCCUUUUCUUUUUUACGUGGUUUUGCCAGCGUGUGUGUGUCGCGUGCUUCUCAGAGUCGAUCAGAGCCCUGUUUUGCAGGUGUCUUGGGGACUAAAACAAGACAAACAACUCUCCCGUGUACGCGAACGCGGUGAUCUGUAAUUUCUGCUUCUCUCUACACCCGUCGCCGACGUGGUGCCGUCUAUGAAAUCAAGGAGCUGAGGCAGCCACGCUGUGAGGAGCAUCCUUCGCACACAUGCACACGCGUUGUCGCCUUUUUUUCGCGGCACAAGUUUAGAGAUGCACCUCACAUCUGUGGUGCAUCGGCCCCUCCCCCUCCUCCCCGCUCUGCCUCCUUCUCGCUCUUUGCACCGACCACACAUGUUUUCGGUUGUUGCUGCUCUUCUCUUGCGUGACUGACGUGCUUUCUGUUUUCGACUCAUGUGGCUCUCUCGCUUUAUCUGCUUUCUGUGCUGUCGUUGUUGUGCUUCGUGGCUCUGCACGAUGCGCCUGCUUCGCUACGUCUACCAGGGCCCUUCGGCCUCCUGCUCGGCUCCCUCUCGGUGCCUCUGCCUUCUUUCAUGCGAGCUAUUCCCUCCUUUAUCUCGUGCUCGCCUCCUUUCCCGCGCCGCGCACCGCAAUCAAG